GAUGAACGCUGGCGGCGUGCCUAAUACAUGCAAGUCGAGCGAACAGACGAGGAGCUUGCUCCUCUGACGUUAGCGGCGGACGGGUGAGUAACACGUGGAUAACCUACCUAUAAGACUGGGAUAACUUCGGGAAACCGGAGCUAAUACCGGAUAAUAUAUUGAACCGCAUGGUUCAAUAGUGAAAGACGGUUUUGCUGUCACUUAUAGAUGGAUCCGCGCCGCAUUAGCUAGUUGGUAAGGUAACGGCUUACCAAGGCAACGAUGCGUAGCCGACCUGAGAGGGUGAUCGGCCACACUGGAACUGGGACACGGUCCAGACUCCUACGGGAGGCAGCAGUAGGGAAUCUUCCGCAAUGGGCGAAAGCUUGACGGAGCAACGCCGCGUGAGUGAUGAAGGUCUUCGGAUCGUAAAACUCUGUUAUUAGGGAAGAACAAAUGUGUAAGUAACUAUGCACGUCUUGACGGUACCUAAUCAGAAAGCCACGGCUAACUACGUG
rnacentral:rRNA from 1 species